rnacentral:rRNA from 1 species
UACGUAGGGACCGAGCGUUGUCCGGAAUCAUUGGGCGUAAAGAGCGUGUAGGCGGCUAUUUAAGUCCUGCGUGAAAUCCUGCGGCUCAACCGCAGACGGUCGUGGGAAACUGGAUGGCUAGAGUGCGGGAGAGGAGAGUGGAAUUCCCGGUGUAGCGGUGAAAUGCGCAGAUAUCGGGAAGAACACCCGUGGCGAAGGCGGCUCUCUGGAACGCAACUGACGCUGAGACGCGAAAGCGUGGGGA